rnacentral:rRNA from 1 species
CACGCCGCGUGAGUGAUGAAGGUUUUCGGAUCGUAAAGCUCUGUUGUUAGGGAAGAACAAGUACCGUUCGAAUAGGGCGGUACCUUGACGGUACCUAACCAGAAAGCCACGGCUAACUACGUGCCAGCAGCCGCGGUAAUACGUAGGUGGCAAGCGUUGUCCGGAAUUAUUGGGCGUAAAGGGCUCGCAGGCGGUUUCUUAAGUCUGAUGUGAAAGCCCCCGGCUCAACCGGGGAGGGUCAUUGGAAACUGGGGAACUUGAGUGCAGAAGAGGAGAGUGGAAUUCCACGUGUAGCGGUGAAAUGCGUAGAGAUGUGGAGGAACACCAGUGGCGAAGGCGACUCUCUGGUCUGUAACUGACGCUGAGGAGCGAAAGCGUGGGGAGCGAACAGGAUUAGAUACCCUGGUAGUCCACGCCGUAAACGAUGAGUGCUAAGUGUUAGGGGGUUUCCGCCCCUUAGUGCUGCAGCUAACGCAUUAAGCACUCCGCCUGGGGAG